CCUACGGGAGGCAGCAGUGGGGAAUAUUGCACAAUGGGGGAAACUCUGAUGCAGCGACGCCGCGUGAGUGAAGAAGUAUUUCGGUACGUAAAGCUCUAUCAGCAGGGAAGAAAAUGACGGUACCUGACUAAGAAGCCCCGGCUAACUACGUGCCAGCAGCCGCGGUAAUACGUAGGGGGCGAGCGUUAUCCGGAUUCAAUGGGGUGAAAGGGAGCGUAGACGGCCGUGCAAGGCAGGAGUGAAAGGCCGGGGCCCAACCCCGGGACUGCUCUUGGAACUGUGCGGCUAGAGUGCGGGAGGGGCAGGCGGAAUUCCUGGUGUAGCGGUGAAAUGCGUAGAUAUCAGGAGGAACACCGGCGGCGAAGGCGGCCUGCUGGACCGCGACUGACGUUGAGGCUCGAAAGCGUGGGGAGCGAACAGGAUUAGAUACCCGUGUAGUC
rnacentral:rRNA from 1 species